rnacentral:rRNA from 1 species
AUUGAACGCUGGCGGCAGGCCUAACACAUGCAAGUCGAGCGGUUGACGGGAGCUUGCUCCCUGAUUCAGCGGCGGACGGGUGAGUAAUGCCUAGGAAUCUGCCUAUUAGUGGGGGACAACGUUUCAAAAGGAACGCUAAUACCGCGUACGUCCUACGGGAGAAAGCAGGGGACCUUCGGGCCUUGCGCUAAUAGAUGAGCCUAGGUCGGAUUAGCUUGUUGGUGAGGUAAUGGCUCACCAAGGCGACGAUCCGUAACUGGUCUGAGAGGAUGAUCAGUCACACUGGAACUGAGACACGGUCCAGACUCCUACGGGAGGCAGCAGUGGGGAAUAUUGGACAAUGGGCGAAAGCCUGAUCCAGCCAUGCCGCGUGUGUGAAGAAGGUCUUCGGAUUGUAAAGCACUUUAAGUUGGGAGGAAGGGUUGUAGAUUAAUACUCUGCAGUUUUGACGUUACCGACAGAAUAAGCACCGGCUAACUCUGUGCCAGCCGCCGCAGUAACAC